CAAGGUGAGGUGUUUGAAAAAAUCCUUGGCCAAUCAUCUAUGUCUUUGUUAAUAUCAGGUCCCAAUCCCUCAUCACCCAAAUUUAGGUCAACCUCAUCAUUAUCAACGGACUCAAUGUCGAAUCCUGCAAGCGCUUGUCUUCAUCUGUGGGAAUAUCAUCCUUCAUCGCAUUCACAAAGUUAGGUCCAAUCCUCAUUAAAACUCUAUCAUGGUGUUUCCAAGUGGGUGAAAUUCACAAUAUUCUCUACCAAUGACUCCAAGGUGGUGGUUAAGUUUAUUAAGAAGUAGAUAUUUACAAGGUUUGGGACCCUGGGAGCGAUUUAAUGAUGGUGGUAAACACUUCAUCAAUAAUUGGUUCAAGAAUUUACUGGCAAAGUAUGGGGUAAGACACAAGAUUGCCACAGCGUAUCAUCGCCAAACUAGUGGCCAGGUUGAGGUCUCAAAUUGUGAGGUAAAGUUAAUUUUGUAGAAGAUGGUGAAUGCACAACACAAAGAUUGGGUAUUGAAGUUUGAUGAUUCAGUUGGACAUAUAGAACAUUGUACAAGAAUCCCAUUGGGACAUCACCCUACAGGACUAAAGAGCAUCUUGACGUGAAGGAGGGAUUAAAGUGUGAAAUUUUUUUUUGGGAAGCCAUGUGGCAUGAAAUGGGCUAAGGUAAGAAAAUAAAUGAAUGCUCAAAAAUGGGGAUCCAAAAGUCCCCCAAGGAAUUUCUAAUGUUCCUCCACAUUAAGAGCAUGUCACGCUUUUUAUCCUCCGCGAUAAAGGUAUGGAAUGGCGGAAACAAAAAUCCCCAAUGUACUUUCCAGUAAUCCUCCUAGAUAGAAGCGUGUCACGCUCCUUAUUCUCUACGAUAAGGGCGUGGCAUGAAGGCUGGGUUACAAUCCAUUUUAAUUUAAAAUAUCAGGUCAAAACUCUAUUCAAUCCUUUUAAAACUCAAAAAUCCCCAAAUUUCCUUUCGUUGUCUAAAACCUCGCAUGUUGCACUUUAAAAAUUCUCAAUUGAGCGAUGUGAUACACUGCUUCUACUCUUUCUACGUGUAUCUCUCUCUUUCGAAUCACAAACAAGGUAUCAAGUGGUUGCAAACACUCGGCCCUAUUCUGUGGGAUUUUGUGUUAUUAACCAUGGGCUUUCAAUUAAAAGGGAAGCAGAUCAUUCUACAUGGACAACAAUAAUUAUUUCAACCACACUUACAUCUUCUGCAGGAUUCUAAGCAAGGUGAGCUCGAGAAAGUAUUAGCUGAAUUUGAUGAGCUAUUCAAAGUACCUACAGGUCUGCCUCCUAUGCAUUCUUGUGAUCAUCGCAUAUGUUUACUAUCGGGAACGGAUCCAGUGGUAGUUCGUCCCUAUCGAUACCCUUAUUUUUAGAAAGAUGAGAUUGAGAAACAGUGUGAUCAAAUGCUCUAGCAAGGCAUUAUUCGACCCAGUCGUUCCCCAUUCUCAUCACCUGUACUACUGGUCUAGAAACAUGAUGAAACAUGGUACUUUUGUGUGGAUUAUAAGGAGCUAAAUGCCAAAAUAGUAAAGGAAAAAUUCCCAAUUCCAGUGGUGGAGGAAUUACUUGAAGAAUUGUAUGGUACGUGAUUUUUCAUCAAGCUUGAUCUUCACUCGGGUUAUCAUCAAGUCCACAUGGAUUCUGCAGAUGUUGAGAAGACAAAUUUCAAAAUACAUCAUGGUCAUUUUGAGUUCCUUGUCAUGCCAUUCGGGUUAACUAAUGUUCCUUCUACCUUUCAAGCAUUGAUGAAUGAUGUAUUCCGAAGGUACCUGCGUCAAUUUGUACUUGUAUUUUUGAUGACAUCCUUGUUUAUAGCAAGAGUUGAGAGGAUCAUCUGGUACAUAUCUGACUUAUCUUUGAGUUGUUGCAAGCUCAUCACCUCUAUUUAAAAAAAUCCAAAUGUUCCUUUGGCAAAAAUCAAGUAGCUUAUUUGGGCCACACAGUCUCCAACAUAGGUUUGUCAACUGAUGCUAGCAAAAUUGAGGCCAUAAUUGACUGGCCUCAACCACAACCAACAAUGGCGUUGCGGGGAUUCUUAGGCUUGACAGGAUAUUAUCAUAUGUUCAUAAAAAAUUACGGCUUGAUUGAUGCCCCCUUAACAAGUAUGCUUAAGUGACGUACUUUUAAGUGGAAUGACGAUGCACUUGUUUCUUUCGAAACUCUUAAAAAGGCAUUAGUUGCUACCCCAGUGUUACAGUUACCAAACUUUAAAGAAGAAUUUGUUAUUGAGUGUGAUGUGUUGGGUGUUGGAAAAGGAGCAAUUCUUCAACAACAAGGACACCCCAUUGCUUUUUUUAGUCGUAAGCUAGCUGACCAACACUUGAAACUUUCAUCUUAUGCAUGUGAAUUGAUAGGCUUGACAAAGGCAGUUCAACACUAGAGGCCUUAUCUCUUUGGAUGAGCCUUUCUAAUUCGAACAGAUCAUUCCAUCCUUAAAUACCUGCUAGAUCAACAUCUUACUACUUCUUCUCAACAACGUUGGCUUAGCAAGAUGAUGGGGUUCGAUUUUCGGGUGGAAUACAAGGUUGGGCGAUUGAAUACUGCAGCAGAUGCAUUAUCAUGACGAGAAAAGGUUGGAGAUAUGCUAUUUUCUAUUUCUUAGCCAAAAGUUCUGAUAUUCGAGGAAGUUCGAGAAGAGGUAAAGCAAUCACCAAUUCUUUAGAAACUUCGAGCUAAAUUUGAACAAGGAGAGAUGAAUAGCGAUUAGGUGUUUCGAAAUGGGUUGUUGUUCUUCAAAAAUAGGGUCUAUCUCUCACCCAACUCACCAUUGGUAAAUUCUAUCUUGUUUGGGAUUCAUGAUAGCACCCAUGAAGGCGUUUAGAAGACCAUGCUAUGUAUUCAUAAGGAUUUCUAUUGGCCAGCUAUAAAGACAACUAUCAAGGAUUAUGUUGCUGCCUGUUCAGUUUGCCAGCGUAAUAAGGCUGUUAAUUUGAGUCCCGCGGGCCGGUUACAACCUUUACGACUGCCUAAUCAAAUUUGAUCGAAUAUCUCAAUGGAUUUCAUAGAUGGCCUGCCAAAAUUAGGUAGUAAAACAAUGUUAUUGGUUGUUGUGGACAAAUUCUCUAAAUAUGCACAUUUCAUCCCCCUUACUCAUCCAUAUAAUUCAUCUUCUAUAGCAAGGAUUUUCUUUGAGAAUAUUGUUCGUUUACAUAGGAUACCAAAAUCAAUUGUAAGUGAUUGAGAUGCCCUCUUCACUAGUACCUUCU